CCUACGGGAGGCAGCAGUGGGGAAUAUUGCGCAAUGGGCGAAAGCCUGACGCAGCGACGCCGCGUGAGGGAUGAAGGUCUUCGGAUCGUAAACCUCUGUCAGGAGGGAAGAAGUGGUUAUAUGCGAAUAGUGUAUGACUUUGACGGUACCUCCAAAGGAAGCACCGGCUAACUCCGUGCCAGCAGCCGCGGUAAUACGGAGGGUGCGAGCGUUAAUCGGAAUCACUGGGCGUAAAGCGCGCGUAGGCGGCUUUUCAAGUCAGGGGUGAAAUCCCACGGCCCAACCGUGGAACUGCCUUUGAAACUGUAGAGCUUGAGUGUCGGAGAGGGUGGCGGAAUUCCAGGUGUAGGAGUGAAAUCCGCAGAUAUCAGGAGGAACACCGGCGGCGAAGGCGGCCUGCUGGACUGAAACUGACGUUGAGGCUCGAAAGCGUGGGGAGCAAACAGGAUUAGAUACCCGGGUAGUC
rnacentral:rRNA from 1 species